rnacentral:rRNA from 1 species
UGGUGGAGCGAUUUGUCUGGUUAAUUCCGAUAACGAACGAGACUCUAGCCUACUAAAUAGUGCAAGGAUCUUUACGUCCUUGUCACUUCUUAGAGGGACUAUCGGUGCGUAGCCGGUGGAAGUUUGAGGCAAUAACA